GACGAACGCUGGCGGCGUGCCUAACACAUGCAAGUCGAACGAGAAUCUAUGGAAAGAGGGCUUCGGCCGAUAGAAAUAGAGGACAGUGGCGGACGGGUGAGUAACGCGUGAGCAACCUGCCCUUCGGAGGGGGACAACAGUUGGAAACGACUGCUAAUACCGCAUGACGUCGACCUAUGGCAUCAUAGGACGACCAAAGAUUUAUCGCCGAAGGAUGGGCUCGCGUCUGAUUAGAUAGUUGGUGAGGUAACGGCUCACCAAGUCGACGAUCAGUAGCCGGACUGAGAGGUUGAACGGCCACAUUGGGACUGAGAUACGGCCCAGACUCCUACGGGAGGCAGCAGUGGGGAAUAUUGGGCAAUGGGGGCAACCCUGACCCAGCAACGCCGCGUGAAGGAAGAAGGCUUUCGGGUUGUAAACUUCUUUGACCAGGGACGAAAUAAAUGACGGUACCUGGAAAACAAGCCACGGCUAACUACGUG
rnacentral:rRNA from 1 species